CCCCUCCGUUUAACUCGCAGGUCACCAGGAGAGUGACUGGAGGCCUUCCGAACACACUCUGGUCCUGGAGAAUGUCAGCCAAGUCCAAGGGGACCCCCUCCUCGUCCUCUCCAGCCGAGGGACCGCCGGCAGCCUCCAAAACCAAGGUGAAGGAGCAGAUCAAGAUCAUCGUGGAGGACCUGGAAUUAGUCCUGGGCGACCUGAAGGACGUGGCCAAGGAACUUAAGGAGGUGGUUGACCAGAUCGAUACCCUGACCUCCGACCUCCAGCUGGAGGAUGAGAUGACCGACAGCUCCAAAACAGACACCCUGAACAGUAGCUCCAGUGGCACGACCGCCUCCAGCAUCGAGAAGAUCAAAGUGCAGGCCAACGCACCCCUCAUCAAACCCCCAGCGCACCCGUCUGCGAUCCUCACGGUCCUGAGAAAGCCAAACCCUCCGCCACCUCCCCCGCGGUUGACCCCGGUCAAGUGUGAAGACCCCCCGAGAGGGGUGCCUGUGGCCAAUACCCUGAAGACCAAUGGCACCCUCCUGCGAAACGGAGGCUUCCCCGGGGCACCGAACAAAAUUCCAAACGGAGACAUCUGCUGCCUACCCCCCAGUACCUUGGACAAGGCUCCCGUGCAGCCUCUGACGCACAGACCUGACAAAGACAGGUGUCCCCAGGCAGGGCCUCGGGAACGAGUUCGGUUUAAUGAAAAAGUGCAGUACCAUGGCUAUUGUCCCGACUGUGACGCCCGGUAUAACAUAAAAAACAGGGAGGUCCAUUUACACAGCGAACCUGUCCACCCACCGGGGAAGCUUCCUCACCCAGGCCCUCCCCUCCCUCCUCCGCCCCACCUCCCUCCUUUUCCGCUGGAAAACGGGGGGCUAGGAAUAAGCCACAGUAACAGCUUCCCCCCUCUCAGACCUGCAACUGUGCCUCCUCCCACUGCACCAAAACCACAGAAGACGAUCUUGAGGAAAUCAACCACUACAACAGUGUGAUGUAUGCCAUUUCCAAAACCUUUUCUUUUUUUUGUUUUUGUUUUUGUUUUUUAAUUUCUAUACUAUAAACAUAAAAUAAUAAGUAAUGAGCACUUUCUACUCAAGCAAUAAAAAGCCCAAAUAUAUUAAUCCUGCAUUCAGCAAAGUGGCAUAAAAACCACCUGGUAAGUAUGCACUAUGUCGUUUAUAUCCCGGGUACACGGUGUUUAAACAGUUGCAACAUCAGAAACCACAGAACCAUGAAAAAGCUGCGUUUUUUGUUUCUUGCACCCGACCUCGGAGAAACAGUGGCCUGUAGAUUUCAAAUGGUUUGAUUUACCAUCAGAGGUGGAAUUAGAUUCAUUUUAUUCAUGCCUAACUCAUCUAUGCACUAAUAACAUGUCACCCUCCUAACUUUGGCCAGAUGCUUUUUAGGAAGAAAUUUUAAUACCGAAGGACUAUUUUAUUAUUUUUUCUAAAGAUGUUUGUCACUAGUUUUACAUUACGAAAUGCCGAGAACAGUAUCAAAAAGUUUAUUUUCUAUACUAUCCAAUAAUGAUUAUAUGUUUCCCCUAUAUAUGUAAUGAAAGAUUUUUGUCUGUGGAAAUAUCAUACGUCAAUAAACGACAGUACCUAAUGGCAAAAGCACGCGUUCCUCAGAGCGGAAAUGAAGCAGUGGUUCAUUGAAUCCUGUGUGAAUAUUCAUCAAAAUGGGUAGCUACUCUGAAAAAGUUUGGAGAAGAUUACAAUCCUUCAGGUUGAAAGGAAUAUCUUUAUUUGGAGGCAUGUCAGCUCAUUUUCUCACUUCAGAUUCAUCAUUGUGACUUCUUGAGGCCAGAUCUAAUUUUAAAGUAACCAGGAACCUGUCCACCAUAGAGCAGCAAAUCCCUCAAUUUUGGAGCACAAAAGAUCACUGAUAUGGUCUGCAUAAAAUCAUCUGCCUCUGGGCUGACAGCCAUGAGCAGAGCCCUGGGGGCAAAAAAAAAAAAAAAAAAAAAAGCCACCGCCUUAAAUUUCUUCACUCUGAAAUUACCAAGAAGAUUCAAAAAAAAAAAAAAAAAAAGAAAGAAAAAGAAAAAGAAAGAAAGAAAAAAGACUAAAUAAGCAAGCCAACAACAUCAAGAAGAACAACAACAAAAACAACAACAAAAAAAUCCAUCUUAUUUCAGGAAAAAAUAUUCUCAGAUGUGAGCCCAAGAAAAUUUAUAUUCAGCAAUUAAGCUAGAAAAUUGAUUUAUCAUUUGGGAAGGUGAAAGUAUAGAAAGAGGAGGUAUCUUAGCCUGAUUUAUUCAGCAUUUCAAAAUAUGUAGACAAAAAAGGAAAGUGAACAGAGGAGCAUUUCAGCAAUGAACAGUAUUAGGACAGAAUGUUGCUGUUUGCAGAGAGGUUGUUUGCCAUCUUGUGCACACCCUCAAAGCCAUAAUGGACUAACAGCAUUGUCGUUAAUUGCUUGAAAAGUUUCUGCAUUCAGUCCUUCACCCCAUAUUGGUUAAGGAGGGGGAGGCCAGUUCUUACUCAUUACUUCUCAAUGCACUUCUAGUAUUUGCACUGUCACUUCCAUUCAGGGUAAUGAUGUGUGUUGUUUUUUGCACAGAUGGUCCCAGGAGAUUUGAGAGCACAGUUACAUGCAGGAGUCUAGGAAGGAAGCAUUUAAAAAUAUUCCAGAUUCUCUUUCUUCUGUAAAAGUCAGUUAUCUUCUAAAAAAAAAAAAAAAAAAAAAAAGACUUGUCUCAAAUUAAAAAAAAACUACAGAAUAAUAAGAAAAGAGUAUAAGUGUGGUCAAAUGAAUGAAGAAGGGAUCCAAAGUUUGUUUUAGCUGGGAUCAUUUUAUAUCAUUAACAGCCAAGAAGUCAGAUACAGUGAACUGUAUACUACACAUUUGUGUUGAACAUCUAUUUGUUCUCUUAAAGAAAUCAUUCGUAAUUUGUAUUUGACAUAUAAUAGUUUUUUAUAGCCAUUAAUCUAUGCUUCAUGGGAAAAUGUACCAAACAG